CAGUAGCCACGGUAAUACGAAGGGGGCUAGCGUUGUUCGGAUUUACUGGGCGUAAAGCGCACGUAGGCGGAUCGAUCAGUCAGGGGUGAAAUCCUGGAGCUCAACUCCAGAACUGCCUUUGAUACUGUCGAUCUCGAGUCCGGAAGAGGUGAGUGGAACUCCUAGUGUAGAGGUGGAAUUCGUAGAGAUGUGGAGGAACAUCAGUGGCGAAGGCGACUCUCUGGUCUGUAACUGACGCUGAGGAGCGAAAGCGUGGGGAGCGAACAGGAUUAGAGACCCCCGUAGUCCCUGUCUCUUAUAC
rnacentral:rRNA from 1 species